rnacentral:lncRNA from 1 species
UUAAUCUUCUUCAUAUCUUCAAGUCUUGUUCUUGAAGAUUCAACAUCCUUUCUAGUAAACUUCAAGAUAGUGUGAAGAUCUAAGGUUGUUCCCAAGGUGUUGUCAAGUGAAUACAAGCUUCCUAUCAUCCCAUAACUUACUUGAAUCUUGAAGGCACUUGUACAUGAAGAUACAUUUCGAUUUAAAGCUCAAGAAAUGGACAAAUAAAUAAUUUGAGGGAUUGUGUUAGCAUAUAAAAACGCACCCAAAGGUGAAGUUGCUUAGUGUUGAUUACGA